rnacentral:rRNA from 1 species
UACGGGGGGAGCAAGCGUUGUUCGGAUUUACUGGGCGUAAAGGGCGCGUGGGCGGCCACCGCAAGUCGACUGUGAAAUCUCCGGGCUUAACCCGGAAAGGUCAGCCGAUACUGCGGGGCUAGAGUGCAGAAGGGGCAACUGGAAUUCUCGGUGUAGCGGUGAAAUGCGUAGAUAUCGAGAGGAACACCUGCGGCGAAGGCGGGUUGCUGGGCUGACACUGACGCUGAUGCGCGAAAGCUAGGGGAGCGAACGGG